rnacentral:rRNA from 1 species
UGGCUCAGAUUGAACGCUGGCGGCAGGCCUAACACAUGCAAGUCGAACGGUAACAGAAAGCAGCUUGCUGCUUUGCUGACGAGUGGCGGACGGGUGAGUAAUGUCUGGGAAACUGCCUGAUGGAGGGGGAUAACUACUGGAAACGGUAGCUAAUACCGCAUAACGUCGCAAGACCAAAGAGGGGGACCUUCGGGCCUCUUGCCAUCGGAUGUGCCCAGAUGGGAUUAGCUUGUUGGUGGGGUAACGGCUCACCAAGGCGACGAUCCCUAGCUGGUCUGAGAGGAUGACCAGCCACACUGGAACUGAGACACGGUCCAGACUCCUACGGGAGGCAGCAGUGGGGAAUAUUGCACAAUGGGCGCAAGCCUGAUGCAGCCAUGCCGCGUGUAUGAAGAAGGCCUUCGGGUUGUAAAGUACUUUCAGCGGGGAGGAAGGGAGUAAAGUUAAUACCUUUGCUCAUUGACGUUACCCGCAGAAGAAGCACCGGCUAACUCCGUGCCAGCAGCCGCGGUAAUACGGAGGGUGCAAGCGUUAAUCGGAAUUACUGGGCGUAAAGCGCACGCCGGCGGUUUGUUAAGUCAGAUGUGAAAUCCCCGGGCUCAACCUGGGAACUGCAUCUGAUACUGGCAAGCUUGAGUCUCGUAGAGGGGGGUAGAAUUCCAGGUGUAGCGGUGAAAUGCGUAGAGAUCUGGAGGAAUACCGGUGGCGAAGGCGGCCCCCUGGACGAAGACUGACGCUCAGGUGCGAAAGCGUGGGGAGCAAACAGGAUUAG